ensembl:snRNA LOC120097965 U6 spliceosomal RNA
ACUUUUGCAAUAUGUACAUACUAAAAUUGUCAAUACAGAGAAGAUUAGUAUGGCCCCUGCACAAAGACACACAAAUUUGUUCAGCAAAUUUGU